GUCCGCACCGUAAACGAUGAUUACUCGCUGCUAGAUGGCAACAUUUAGUGGCUUAGCGAAAGCGAUAAGUAAUCCACCUGGGUAGUACGCCGGCAACGGUGAAACUCAAAGGAAUUGACGGGGGCCCGCACAAGCGGAGGAGCAUGUGGUUUAAUUCGAUGAUACGCGAGGAACCUUACCAGGGCUUGAAAGUUAGGGAAUGACUCUGAAAGGAGUCAGUCAGCAAUGACCCGAAACUAGGUGCUGCAUGGCUGUCGU
rnacentral:rRNA from 1 species